AUUGAACGCUGGCGGCAUGCUUUACACAUGCAAGUCGAACGGCAGCGCGGGCUUCGGCCUGGCGGCGAGUGGCGAACGGGUGAGUAAUGCAUCGGAACGUGCCCAGUAGUGGGGGAUAGCCCGGCGAAAGCCGGGUUAAUACCGCAUACGACCUGCGGGUGAAAUCGGGGGACCGAAAGGCCUCGCGCUAUUGGAGCGGCCGCUGUCGGAUUAGCUAGUUGGUGGGGUAAAGGCUUACCAAGGCGACGAUCCGUAGCUGGUCUGAGAGGACGACCAGCCACACUGGGACUGAGACACGGCCCAGACUCCUACGGGAGGCAGCAGUGGGGAAUUUUGGACAAUGGGGGCAACCCUGAUCCAGCCAUGCCGCGUGCGGGAAGAAGGCCUUCGGGUUGUAAACCGCUUUUGUUCGGGAAGAAAUCCUCUGGGCUAAUACCCCGGGGGGCUGACGGUACCGGAAGAAUAAGCACCGGCUAACUACGUG
rnacentral:rRNA from 1 species